rnacentral:rRNA from 1 species
UACAGAGGGUGCAAGCGUUAAUCGGAAUUACUGGGCGUAAAGCGUGCGUAGACGGUUAUUUAAGUCGGGUGUGAAAGCCCCGGGCUCAACCUGGGAAUUGCAUUCGAGACUGAAUAGCUAGGGUACGGUAGAGGGAAGCGGAAUUUCCGGUGUGGCGGUGAAAUGCGUAGAUAUCGGAAGGAACAUCAGUGGCGAAAGCGGCUUCCUGGACCAGUACCGACGUUCAGGCACGAAAGCGUGGGGAGCAAACAGG